GUACUUACUUCGGCAGUACAUAUACUAAAACUGGAAUGAUACAGAGAAGAUUAGCAUGGCCCCAGCACAAGGAUGACAGGCAAAUUUGUGAAGUGUUCCAUUAAAAA